CAAUAGCGUAUAUUAAAGUUGUUGCGGUUAAAAAGCUCGUAGUUGGAUUUCUGCUGAGAACGACCGGUCCGCCCUCUGGGUGUGUAUCUGGCUCUUUCUUGGCAUCUUCUUGGUGAACGUUGCUGCACUUGACUGUGUGGAGCGCUACCCAGGACUUUUACUUUGAGGAAAUUAGAGUGUUUCAAGCAGGCAUACGCCUUGAAUACAUUAGCAUGGAAUAAUAAGAUAGGACCUCGGUUCUAUUUUGUUGGUUUCUAGAGCUGAGGUAAUGAUUAAUGGGGAUAGUUGGGGGCAUUCGUAUUUAACUGUCAGAGGUGAAAUUCUUGGAUUUGUUAAAGAUGGACUACUGCGAAAGCAUUUGCCAAGGAUGUUUUCAUUGA
rnacentral:rRNA from 1 species